UGCAACAGAUGCAAUUCAUUGGCUCUAGUC
rnacentral:piRNA from 1 species